AUUGAACGCUGGCGGCAGGCCUAACACAUGCAAGUCGAGCGAGCGGCGGACGGGUGAGUAAUGUCUGGGAAACUGCCUGCUGGAGGGGGAUAACUACUGGAAACGGUAGCUAAUACCGCAUACCAUCAGAUGUGCCCAGAUGGGAUUAGCUAGUAGGUGGGGUAACGGAUCACCUAGGAGACGAUCCCUAGCUGGUCUGAGAGGAUGACCGGCCCCACUGGAACUGAGACACGGUCCAGACUCCUACGGGAGGCAGCAGUGGGGAAUAUUGCACAAUGGGCGAAAGCCUGAUGCAGCCAUGCCGCGUGUGUGAAGAAGGCCGUCGGGGUGUAAAGCACUUUCAGCGGGGAGGCGUUACUCGCAGAGGAAGCACCGGCUAACUCCGUGCCAGCAGCCGCGGUAAUUC
rnacentral:rRNA from 1 species